AUUGAACGCUGGCGGCAGGCCUAACACAUGCAAGUCGGGCGAGAGGCGGACGGGUGAGUAAUGUAUGGGGACUGCCUGAUGGAGGGGGAUAACUACUGGAAACGGUAGCUAAUACCGCAUACCCUCAGAUAACCCAUAUGGGAUUAGCUGGUAGGUGAGGUAAAGGCUCCCCUAGGCGACGAUCCCUAGCUGGUCUGAGCGGAUGAUCUGCGACACUGGGACAUAGACAGGGCCCAGACUCCUACGGAGGCAUCAGUGGGGAAGAUUGCACAAUGGGCGCAAGCCUGAUGCAGUCAUGCCGCGUGUAUGAAGAAGGCACUAGGGUUGUAAAGUACUUUCAGUCGGGAGGCGUUACCGACAGAAGAAGCACCGGCUAACUCCGUGCCAGCCGCCGCGGUAAUAC
rnacentral:rRNA from 1 species